GGAACGCGGGCGGGGGCUUCUGGGAGUUGUAGUCUGUUGGGGGCGUGCGCAGUCGGGAUGGAAGCUUCCUGGCGCCAGGUGGCCGGUGGCCGAGGCCGAUCCCGGGGACGGGCCACUGCCGCCCCCUCAGGAAAUGGAGUCCAUCUCCGCGGCGCCGGAGGAGGGCGAGAGAAGGGGUCGGUGGGCGCAGUUCCUUCUGGCACCAGUCCCGGAGGAGUCGCGACCACGGCGGCUGCAGGGAGCAGGCACAGCCCCGCAGGAUCCCAAGCCCUGCAGACUACCGCAGCCAGCGAGCUAAUGUCUCAGAAAAAAUUUGAAGAAAUCAAGAAAGCUAACCAAGCUGCAGCCAGAAAACUUGUUGAAGAACAGUUUAGCUCUUCAUCUGAAGAAGGAGAUGAAGAUUUUGAAGGAAAACAGGGAAAAAUACUUGCAAAUACGUUUAUAACAUACACUACUCAGACAGAUGGAGAUACACGUGAAUUAGAGCGAACAAAACAAUAUGUAAAUGAAGCUUUUCAAGCAGGGGCUAUGACAUGCCUAAUUUGUAUUGCUUCGGUGAAGAGAAACCAAGCAGUUUGGAGCUGUUCGGGAUGUUUCUGUAUAUUUCACAUGCCCUGUAUCCAGAAGUGGGCUAAAGACAGCCAGUUUCUUGUAUCUUCUGUGACUGAUGAUGAUUUUGGAAAGAAAGAUUGUCCCUGGCCUUGUCCAAAAUGUAGGUUUGAAUACAAACGAUCUGAAACACCUAGUAGGUACUAUUGCUAUUGUGGAAAAGUAGAAGAUCCACCUUUAGAUCCGUGGCUUGUGCCUCAUUCAUGUGGCCAAGUAUGUGAGCGUGAAUUUAAACCUCCUUGUGGCCAUAAAUGUUUACUCCUCUGUCAUCCAGGUCCCUGCCCUCCUUGUCCAAAGAUGGUCACAACUACUUGUUACUGUAAGAAAGCAAAACCUAUCCCUCGUAGGUGCAGUGCCAAGGAAUGGUCUUGUCAGCUGCCAUGUGGACAGAAGUUGCUUUGUGGGCAACAUAAGUGUGAAAAUCCUUGUCAUGCAGGAAGCUGUCAGCCUUGUCCAAGAGUUAGUAGACAAAAGUGUGUCUGUGGCAAAAAAGUAGCUGAAAGAAGUUGUGCAAGUCCACUAUGGCACUGUGAUCAAGUAUGUGGAAAAACACUGCCAUGUGGUAAUCACACAUGUGAGCAAGUUUGCCAUGUUGGUGCUUGUGGAGAAUGUCCUCGAUCUGGGAAAAGGUUCUGUCCAUGUCAGAAAUCAAAGUUUUCUUUGCCUUGUACAGAAGAUGUACCAACUUGUGGAGACAGUUGUGACAAAGUACUUGAAUGCGGAAUCCAUAGAUGUUCACAGCGUUGUCACCGAGGUCCCUGUGAAACAUGUAGACAAGAAGUGGAAAAGCAUUGUCGCUGUGGAAAGCAUACAAAACGAAUGCCUUGUCAUAAACCUUAUCUGUGUGAAACUAAGUGUGUUAAGAUGCGUGACUGUCAGAAGCAUCAAUGUAGAAGAAAGUGUUGCCCUGGAAACUGUCCACCUUGUGAUCAAAACUGUGGACGGACUUUAGGAUGUAGAAACCAUAAGUGUCCAUCUGUCUGUCACAGAGGCAGUUGCUAUCCCUGCCCAGAAACCGUAGAUGUGAAGUGUAAUUGUGGCAAUACAAAGGUGACAGUGCCCUGUGGCCGAGAACGUACCACAAGACCACCCAAGUGCAAGGAGCAAUGCAGUCGACCACCAACUUGUCAUCAUACAAGUCAAGAAAAACAUCGCUGUCACUUUGGUUCUUGUCCACCAUGUCAUCAACCUUGCCAAAAAGUUUUGGAGAAAUGUGGUCACUUGUGUCCUGCUCCGUGUCAUGAUCAAGCAUUAAUAAAGCAGACUGGCAGGCACCAGCCUACAGGCCCUUGGGAACAGCCUUCUGAGCCAGCAUUUAUUCAGACUGCAUUACCGUGUCCUCCAUGUCAAGUUCCUAUUCCUAUGGAAUGUCUUGGGAAACAUGAGGUGAGUCCACUACCAUGCCAUGCUGUAGGACCCUACUCUUGUAAAAGAGUUUGUGGAAGAAUCUUGGAUUGUCAGAAUCACACAUGUAUGAAAGAAUGCCACAAAGUAACCAAAACUGAUGGCUGCACUGGAAAAAACAAGAUAGGGAAACUGAAGCUCUGUGAUUUGUCCAUGAUUCUGCAACAGGAGAGUAGCAAAUCAGAAAGUACUGUGCCUGAUCUUUUAACUCCCAGCCCAAUGUGCUCUUCUACUCAUGUUAUUUAAAUAGAAGAUUUUUGUAGGUGUACCACAUAGGAAGAGCAAAUGAAAUAAACUCUUUAGGCUGGCCCAGAAUGCCUUCAUUGUGAGGAAGGGUGCUCCAAGUCACGGCCACUAGGUUGUCUUCACCCAUGUAUUUUGCGAUGUCACCCUGGAGAAUGUCCACCUUGUGUUCAGAUGCUUAGAAUAAAAUGUCACUGUAAGAUCACAAGCCUGUAUGUGGAAUGUAGAAAAAUAACCACAGCUGAUGUAAAUGAAAAGAACCUCCUCAGUUGUUGCAAAAAUCAGUGCCCUAAAGAGCUUCCUUGUGGUCAUAGAUGCAAAGAGAUGUGUCAUCCUGGUGAAUGUCCCUUUAACUGCAACCAGAAGGUAAAACUUAGAUGUCCUUGUAAAAGAAUAAAAAAGGAAUUGCAGUGCAACAAAGUACGUGAAAAUCAGGUUUCAAUAGAAUGUGACACAACGUGCAAGGAAAUGAAGCGGAAAGCAUCUGAGAUAAAAGAAGCAGAAGCCAAAGCUGCUCUUGAAGAAGAAAAACGAAGACAACAGGCUGAACUAGAAGCUUUUGAAAACAGACUGAAGGGUCGUCGGAAGAAGAACAGGAAAAGAGAUGAAGUGGCAGUUGAGCUAUCACUAUGGCAAAAACAUAAAUAUUAUCUCAUUUCAGUGUGUGGAGUUGUGGUUGUAGUGUUUGCCUGGUACAUCACCCAUGAUGUCAAUUAAAAAAAGUUUUGAUCUUUUAAUGUAACUCAGAUUGGAUUUAGAUAAGUUGUUAAAUUUGAAAUAUUAGAAAAUGUAUAUUAUAGAACAUGAUAUAUAUUUACAUUCAUCUCUGUAUUCUCUCAGCUGUUGUUAGAAGGACAGAAUGUUAAACUUUAUCUUAAUUAGUAUACUAGAAAGGGCAGUAUAAUACUGUUUUAAAGUGAAGGCAUGACUGAAACUAAAAUAUUUCAUAAGGCUUAGCUAGAGGCAGAGUAACGUGUUUUUGUUCAUUGGGCUUCCUUGUACUUAGUUUUUUCAUUUAAUAAUUCAAACCAACACUUUUAAAAAAAUAAUUCAGAUGAGACUGAGCCAUAUCUGCAGUAAGAGAAAUAUUUCUUAAUGUUUUGGUUACUUAUGAUAGAGUACUUUUCUUGAUACUGUUAACUUUGUGCUUUUUAAAAAAAGUGAUUCUCUAACAGACCUCUUAAAUUGUGACAUGAAGGUAUGUAAUUAGAUUUCAGAAAUUGGUUUAUUAGUGAGGAAUUUUUAUCAAUAAAUGUCAUGGGGCGUGUUCUUCAGAAUAUAUAGUUAUUUUCAACAAAUGCCAGGCUAGAUUCCUCACAUGUGGCUAUUUCUUAUGUAAGAAGCUUUUAACUGAAGUUGGCAUGUUUCGUAAAACUUGCGUGUCUUUUAAAAAUAAUAAAAGGAAGAUGAGUAUUUAUGAAGAAUAUGUGCUGACAACAGGGCUUAUGAGGUCUAUGUACCUUAAUCUCGUUUCUCCUUACCACAAUCUUAAAUAGAUUUCAGCUGAAAAUAAUCAGUUCUUAUGAAAACAAAUAGAGAAAUAUCAGUAAGUCAAAUCUGUUUGAAUUAUAAUUCCUUUCAAAUAGUUUUGCUAUUUAAUUUAUAUGAUUAAUGUUUUCAUUAAAAUUUUUGAUACCAAAUUUGUAA